rnacentral:rRNA from 1 species
UUGUAUUACCAUUUUACCUUAUGGCCACAGCCCAAGACUGGUUACUCACUGAAGCCAAGCAGGGCUGAGCCUGGUCAGUACCUGGAUGAGAGACCAAAUGGGAAAACUGAGUUGCUGUUGGAA